UGGGGAAUUUUUCGCAAUGGGGGCAACCCUGACGAAGCAAUGCCGCGUGGGUGAUGAAGUCUCUUGGGACGUAAAACCCUUUCGACAGGGACGAAACCGCAAGGUUGACGGUACCUGUAGAAGAAGCCCCGGCUAACUCCGUGCCAGCAGCCGCGGUAAUACGGGGGGGGCAAGCGUUGUUCGGAAUUACUGGGCGUAAAGGGUGCGUAGGCGGCUCUCUAAGUCGGAUGUGAAAACUCUGGGCUCAACCCAGAGACUGCAUCCGAAACUGGAGGGCUAGGGUUCUGGAGGGGAAAGCGGAAUUCCUGGUGUAGCGGUGAAAUGCGUAGAUAUCAGGAGGAACACCGGUGGCGAAGGCGGCUUUCUGGACAGAUACCGACGCUGAGGCACGAAAGCUAGGGGAGCAAACAG
rnacentral:rRNA from 1 species